rnacentral:tRNA from 1 species
GGGCCUGUAACUUAGAGAAUUAGAGCACGUGGCUACAAACCACGGUAUCGGGGAUUUGAAUCCCUCCUCUCCCA